rnacentral:rRNA from 1 species
UACGAAGGGGGCUAGCGUUGUUCGGAAUUACUGGGCGUAAAGGGCGCGUAGGCGGCGUGUCAAGUCAGGCGUGAAGGCCCCGGGCUCAACCUGGGAACCGCGCUUGAGACUGGCAUGCUCGAGUUCGGGAGAGGAUGGUGGAAUUCCCAGUGUAGAGGUGAAAUUCGUAGAUAUUCGGAAGAACACCAGUGGCGAAGGCGACUUACU